rnacentral:rRNA from 1 species
GUGAGGAAUUUUCCGCAAUGGGCGAAAGCCUGACGGAGCAAUGCCGCGUGAAGGAUGAAGGCCUAUGGGUUGUAAACUUCUUUUCUCAGAAAAGAAUUAUGACGGUAUCUGAGGAAUAAGCAUCGGCUAACUCUGUGCCAGCAGCCGCGGUAAGACAGAGGAUGCAAGCGUUAUCCGGAAUGAUUGGGCGUAAAGCGUCUGUGGGUUGUUUAAAAAGUAUUCUGUCAAAGAUUAGGGCUUAACCCUAGAUAGGCAGAAUAAACUUUUAAGCUAGAGUUUGGUAGAGGCAGAGGGAAUUCCCGGUGGAGCGGUGAAAUGCGUAGAUAUCGGGAGGAACACCAAAGGCGAAGGCACUCUGCUGGGCCAAUACUAACACUGAGAGACGAAAGCGAGGGGAGCAAAUGGGAUUAGAAACCCCGGUAGUCC